rnacentral:rRNA from 1 species
UACAGAGGUGGCAAGCGUUGUUCGGAAUUACUGGGCGUAAAGGGCGCGUAGGCGGCCUUGUCAGUCAGACGUGAAAUCCCCAGGCUUAACCUGGGAACUGCGCCUGAUACUACAAGGCUUGAGUGCGGGAGAGGGAUGUGGAAUUCCAGGUGUAGCGGUGAAAUGCGUAGAGAUCGGGAGGAACACCCGUGGCGAAGGCGGCUCUCUGGUCGACAACUGACGCUGAGACGCGAAAGCGUGGGGAGCGAACGGG